CCUCUGGGUGGGGGAGACGGUGCUUGGUUAGUCAGGUUGGGCUUGAUCAGGCUAGGAUAGGUGAGGUUAGGUGAAGCUAGGUUAAAUUAGGUUAGGUUAGAGGUUAGGUCUGGCUAGGUUAGUUAAGUCUGGUUAGGUUAAGUUAGGUCAGGUUAGGUUAGGUUAGGUUAGGUCAGGUUAGGUUAGGUCAGGCUGGGUUAGGUCAGGUUAGGUUAGAGGUUAGGUCUGGUUAAGUUAGUUAAGUCUGGUUUGGUUAAGUUAGGUUAGGUUAGGUUAGGUCAGAUCAGGUUAGGUCAGGCUAGGUUAGGUCAGGUUAGGCUAGGCUAAAUUAGGUUAGUUCAGGUUAGGUUAGAGGUUAGGUCUGGUUAGGUUAAAGUCUGGUUAGGUUAAGUUAGGUCAGGUUAGGUUAGGUCAGGUUAGGCUAGGUUCAAUUAGGUUAGUUCAGGUUAGGUUAGAGGUUAGGUCUGGUUAGGUUAGUUAAGUCUGGUUAGGUUGUUAGGUCAGGUCAGGUUAGGUCAGGUUGGGGAAAUUCAGGUUACGUUAGGUUAGAUCAGGCUAGGCUAGGUCAGGUUAGGUUAAGUCAGGUUAGGUUAAGUUAGGUCAGAUUGGUGUAGGUCAGGUUACGUUAGAUAAGGCUAGGUUAGAUCAGGCUAGGUUAGAUCAGGUUAGGAUCAGGCUAGGCUAUGCCAGGCUAGGUCAGGUUACGUUAGGAUAGGUUUGAUAAGAUUUAAGAGCGUGUGUGUGUGUGUGUUUGGCGGGGUAAGGGGAUGUUUGUGUGUGGAGGGGGGUGGGGGACAGACUGUGUUGGCUUUGGUUAGGUUAGGAGAGGGAAUGUGUGUUUGGUUAAGUUAGAAGAGACAAAGUGUGUGUGUGUGUGUGUGUGUGUGUGUGUGUGUGUGUA